AAUAAUAACGUAUAUACACAUUUCGGUAUGUAUGUAUAAUGAUUAGUUAGGACAUACGUAUGAUAAUUAUAAUAUGUAUGUUUUGAAAUAAUUAAUAUACCGAACGUAAGAAUAAUAAUAAAUUCUUAAUUGUAAACGAAAUGUUCAUAUAAAAAUCUAGUUAAAAUGACAUUGUUAUUUGUGUCGUAAUGUUUCUUGCCUUCUUUGCCGUGUUGGACUACUCAUAGGAGAAAUCUAUUUGCUCCGAGAUGACGACUGUCGAUUUGGGAUACGCCUUGAAUCGCGAUGACGGGAACGAAAAAACUUUGACGAAGAUUUUUGGAAGACAACGAAAAAAUAAACGGUCGCAUUUAUCGAACGUUUCUGAAAAUCAACUUCAGCAUAAUUCUGCAGCCUAUGUACAUUUCGUCGGUAAGGCACCGUUCACUUAGAUCAUGAAGGGGACGAGGAUUUGAAAUCUGCAAGUACCAAAAUUCAUGGUAAAUCUGACAGAAUGAUCAUGAUCAAUUAAUCAAUUAAUGGGAGAAAGGUAUUUUACAAUUAUUUAUUUAUUUUUUUCUCAAAAACAAAAAUAGAUUCACUCUAUAAAAGAUUUUUGUAUGGUGAGCUAAAUUACGAAUGAAGGAUUACAAUACCGUCUGAAUUUAAUCAAAAUUAAAGUGUGCGAUCCGUCAGCUAUAGAUGUACAUAAAACAUUCAGUUAAUUAAAAAUCAAAGAUAAGAUAAAACAUUAUAUAUACCUAACAAUAAGUAUAAUAAUAUAUGUAUUAUACGUUCGUAAAUGAAAAAAUGGGAGAAUUUUAAUUCUAAUAAAUUGAAUCUGAGAUCAAAA